rnacentral:rRNA from 1 species
UACGUAGGUGACAAGCGUUGUCCGGAUUUACUGGGCGUAAAGAGCACGCAGGCGGUUUGGCAAGUCGGACGUGAAAAUCCGGGGCUCAACCCCGGACCUGCAUCCGAAACUGCCCGACUAGAGGUAGGUAGGGGAGAUCGGAAUUCCUGGUGUAGCGGUGAAAUGCGCAGAUAUCAGGAGGAACACCGGUGGCGAAGGCGGAUCUCUGGGCCUUACCUGACGCUCAGGUGCGAAAGCUAGGGGAGCGAACAGG